rnacentral:rRNA from 1 species
GUAGGUGGCAAGCGUUGUCCGGAAUUAUUGGGCGUAAAGCGCGCGCAGGCGGUUCUUUAAGUCUGAUGUGAAAGCCCACGGCUCAACCGUGGAGGGUCAUUGGAAACUGGAGAACUUGAGUACAGAAGAGGAAAGCGGAAUUCCACGUGUAGCGGUGAAAUGCGUAGAGAUGUGGAGGAACACCAGUGGCGAAGGCGGCCUUCUGGUCUGUAACUGACGCUGAGGCGCGAAAGCGUGGGGAGCAAACAGGGAUUAGAUACCCUGGUAGUCCACGCCGUAAACGAUGAGUGCUAAGUGUUAGGGGGGUUUCCGCCCCCUUAGUGCUGCAGCUAACGCAUUAAGCACUCCGCCUGGGGAUACGGCCGCAAGGCUG